GUAGCAGUUAAUAGUUUUACAAUACGCGUAAAUGUUCGUUAAGAAUUCUAGAUUCAUGCAGUUUUAUAUUUCAGAUAAAAAAUGGCGAACUAAUCCGAACUCUUUUUCCAGAAUUAUCAUGGAGAUUGAUAACUACGACGAUCCGCUGGAUCGACCUGAAAUGUUGCUAAAUUUCGAGAUGACAGAAUCUGGUGUUGAUGACAGAAGCAUGUUACAGGAGAUACUCGCUGAAAUAUUACUCAUGAAGUCCGGGAUGGAAAAUAGUUUACGUUUAAUGCAAGAAAUUUCCUUUAAACUAGAGAAAUUU